rnacentral:rRNA from 1 species
UACGUAGGGUGCGAGCGUUAAUCGGAAUUACUGGGCGUAAAGCGUGCGCAGGCGGUUCGUUAUGUCCGUUGUGAAAUCCCCGGGCUCAACCUGGGAAUGGCAUUUGGGACUGCAAGGCUCGAGUUUGGCAGAGGAGACUGGAAUUCCUGGUGUAGCAGUGAAAUGCGUAGAUAUCAGGAGGAAUACCGAUGGCGAAGGCAGGUCUCUGGGCUGAAACUGACGCUCAUGCACGAAAGCGUGGGGAGCAAACAGG